AGAGGAAAAGAGGAAAAAAGGGAGAAAGGAAGAAGGAAGCAAUGGAACCACCAUCGUCAUGUCAUCUUAAUCAUCAUCAUCACCACUUUUUACUCACCAUUAAUUGGUUCUUUCACAUUCAAUCGAUUGACAUGAAUUAAUUAAUUGAUGAAUUAAAUUCAUUUAAAAUAUGUCACAAAUGGGGUUCGAACCCUAGACCUCCUUGGAUUUGUACAAGCCUUACCACUAGGCCAAUAAUUUUGUAGUUGAUUACUUAUGCAAUAAAUAGAUGUUAAGUUUAUUCCCA
rnacentral:lncRNA from 1 species